ensembl:snRNA U1 U1 spliceosomal RNA
AUACUUACCUGGCAGGGGAGAUACCAUGAUCAUGAAGGUGGUUUUCCCAGGGCGAGGCUCACCCAUUGCACUCCGGAUGUGCUGACCCCUGCGAUUUCCCCAAAUGUGGGAAACUCGACUGCAUAAUUUGUGGUAGUGGGGGACUGCGUUCGCGCUUUCCCCUG